rnacentral:rRNA from 1 species
CAGCAGCCGCGGUAAUACCGGCGGCCCGAGUGGCGGUCACUAUUAUUGGGCUUAAAGCGUCCGUAGCCGGGUUGGGAAGGCCUCCGGGAAAUCUGGCCGCUUAACGGUCAGAAUGCCGGAGGAUACUCCCAGCCUAGGGAGCGGGAGAGGCCGAGGGUAUUCCCGGAGUAGGGGGGAAAUCCUAUAAUCCCGGGAGGACCACCUGUGGGGAAGGCGCUCGGCUGGAACGCGUCCGACGGGGAGGGACGAAGGCCAGGGGAGCAAACCGGAUUAGAUACCCGGGUAGUCCUGGCUGUAAACGAUGCGGACUUUGUGUCGGACAAGCUAUGAGCUUGUCCGGUGCCGGAGGGAAACCGUUAAGUCCGCCGCCUGGGGAGUACGGCCGCAAGGCUGAAACUUAAAGGAAUUGGCGGG